GACGAACGCUGGCGGCGUGCUUAACACAUGCAAGUCGAACGGAAAGGCCCUGCUUUUGUGGGGUGCUCGAGUGGCGAACGGGUGAGUAACACGUGAGUAACCUGCCCUUGACUUUGGGAUAACUUCAGGAAACUGGGGCUAAUACCGGAUAGGAGCUCCUGCUGCAUGGUGGGGGUUGGAAAGUUUCGGCGGUUGGGGAUGGACUCGCGGCUUAUCAGCUUGUUGGUGGGGUAGUGGCUUACCAAGGCUUUGACGGGUAGCCGGCCUGAGAGGGUGACCGGCCACAUUGGGACUGAGAUACGGCCCAGACUCCUACGGGAGGCAGCAGUGGGGAAUAUUGCACAAUGGGCGGAAGCCUGAUGCAGCAACGCCGCGUGCGGGAUGACGGCCUUCGGGUUGUAAACCGCUUUCGCCUGUGACGAAGCGUGAGUGACGGUAAUGGGUAAAGAAGCACCGGCUAACUACGUGCCAGCAGCCGCGGUGAUACGUAGGGUGCGAGCGUUGUCCGGAUUUAUUGGGCGUAAAGGGCUCGUAGGUGGUUGAUCGCGUCGGAAGUGUAAUCUUGGGGCUUAACCCUGAGCGUGCUUUCGAUACGGGUUGACUUGAGGAAGGUAGGGGAGAAUGGAAUUCCUGGUAGAGCGGUGGAAUGCGCAGAUAUCAGGAGGAACACCAGUGGCGAAGGCGGUUCUCUGGGCCUUUCCUGACGCUGAGGAGCGAAAGCGUGGGGAGCGAACAGGCUUAGAUACCCUGGUAGUCCACGCUGUAAACGGUGGGUACUAGGUGUGGGGUCCAUUCCACGGGUUCCGUGCCGUAGCUAACGCUUUAAGUACCCCGCCUGGGGAGUACGGCCGCAAGGCUAAAACUCAAAGGAAUUGACGGGGCCCCGCACAAGCGGCGGAGCAUGCGGAUUAAUUCGAUGCAACGCGUAGAACCUUACCUGGGUUUGACAUGGAUCGGGAGCGCUCAGAGAUGGGUGUGCCUCUUUUGGGGUCGGUUCACAGGUGGUGCAUGGCUGUCGUCAGCUCGUGUCGUGAGAUGUUGGGUUAAGUCCCGCAACGAGCGCAACCCUUGUUCACUGUUGCCAGCACGUUAUGGUGGGGACUCAGUGGAGACCGCCGGGGUCAACUCGGAGGAAGGUGGGGAUGACGUCAAGUCAUCAUGCCCCUUAUGUCCAGGGCUUCACGCAUGCUACAAUGGCUGGUACAGAGAGUGGCGAGCCUGUGAGGGUGAGCGAAUCUCGGAAAGCCGGUCUCAGUUCGGAUUGGGGUCUGCAACUCGACCUCAUGAAGUCGGAGUCGCUAGUAAUCGCAGAUCAGCAACGCUGCGGUGAAUACGUUCCCGGG
rnacentral:rRNA from 1 species